CCCCGCCUGGGGAGUACGGGUGAGGUAAAGGCUCACCAAGGCGACGACGGGUAACCGGCCUGAGAGGGUGACCGGUCACACUGGGACUGAGACACGGCCCAGACUCCUACGGGAGGCAGCAGUGGGGAAUAUUGCACAAUGGGCGCAAGCCUGAUGCAGCAACGCCGCGUGAGGGAUGACGGCCUUCGGGUUGUAAACCUCUUUUAGCAGGGAAGAAGCGAAAGUGACGGUACCUGCAGAAAAAGCACCGGCUAACUACGUGCCAGCAGCCGCGGUAAUACGUAGGGUGCAAGCGUUGUCCGGAAUUAUUGGGCGUAAAGAGCUCGUAGGCGGUUUGUCACGUCUGCUGUGAAAAUCCGAGGCUCAACCUCGGACCUGCAGUGGGUACGGGCAAACUAGAGUGCGGUAGGGGAGAUUGGAAUUCCUGGUGUAGCGGUGGAAUGCGCAGAUAUCAGGAGGAACACCAAUGGCGAAGGCAGAUCUCUGGGCCGUAACUGACGCUGAGGAGCGAAAGCGUGGGGAGCGAACAGGAUUAGAUACCCUGGUAGUCCACGCCGUAAACGGUGGGAACUAGAUGUGGGGUCCGUUCCACGGAUUCCGUGUCGCAGCUAACGCAUUAAGUUCCCCGCCUGGGGAGUACGG
rnacentral:rRNA from 1 species